rnacentral:snRNA from 1 species
GUGCUCGCUUUGACAGCACAUAUACUAAAAUUAGAAUGAUACAGAGAAGAUCAGCAUGGCCCCUGCACAAGAAAGACACACAAAUUCGUGAGUCAUUCCAUAUUUUA